GUUAGAUACAGUACCGAAAGCUGCAAACUUUUGGUCUAAGAAAAGAUUCUUUCUGAUGU
rnacentral:tRNA from 1 species